rnacentral:rRNA from 1 species
UCAGGAUGAACGCUGGCGGCGUGGCCUAACACAUGCAAGUCGAACGAAGCGAUAGAAGACGGAGAUCGUCAAAGCCUUUAUGACUUAGUGGCGGACGGGUGAGUAAUGUAUGAGCAACCUGCCUUUCAGAGGGGGACGAACAGUUGGAAACGACUGCUAAUACCGCGUAAUGUAAUGAAGGGGCAUCCCUUUAUUACCAAAGGAGCAAUCCGCUGAAAGAUGGGCUCAUAUCUGAUUAGCUCGUUGGCGGGGUAACGGCCCCACCAAGGCGACGAUCAGUAGCCGGACUGAGAGGUUGAACGGCCACAUUGGGACUGAGAUACGGCCCAGACUCCUACGGGAGGCAGCAGUGGGGAAUAUUGGGCAAUGGGCGAAAAAGCCUGACCCAGCAACGCCGCGUGAAGGAAGAAGGUCUUCGGAUUGUAAACUUCUUUUAUGAGGGACGAAGGACGUGACGGUACCUCAUGAAUAAGCCACGGCUAACUACGUGCCAGCCGCCGC